GGGAAUGUAGCUUAGUGGUAGAGCACUUGCCUAGCAUGCAUGAGGCCCUGGGUUCAAUCCCC
rnacentral:tRNA from 1 species